UGCAAAACUGUGUCAUUUUGGUAAAUGUUAUGAAGUUAUCCACCAAGUCUGGCUCUCUAUCUAGUCAACAACUUCUCAUCCAUCCACUUUCUAGGUCUCUCUCUAGAUAUCGCCAUCACCCGUAACCGAGCCCUAAUCAAAUCGCCCAUCACUCGAACAAUUUCCGAUUCGGGUCGUUGGUGUGUGGUUUCUCAUUGGACUCCUCCUGAGGCUUGAUUGAGUUGACGAAGUGAGAAUAGCGAACAGUUGGAGUUGGUGAAGGAGGAGAUCCAAGUUUCAUCACUUUUCACUCAUCCUAAUCUUGCUUCCACUUCUUGAUCAUGCCAUUAUUUUUGUUAAGAAAUGGUACCCAUGGAGAUAGAUGAAAAGGAGACUGAUCGGUAUUUGGUGCUGUUGAAAUUUGAACUGGGAUUUUCAUCAAACAGAGGGCUGACUCAUUAUCUUCUUCUGUGAUAUCUGAUCAUAGGGUUGAAUUAAUUUGUGGGUUAUCAUUUUGUAACUGCUUCAUGCUGUUGUAGCUUGCAUUGAGUUCAAUUAUGGAGUUUUGAAUCAUCUCAGGCUCCGUUACUUAUUGAAGUAUAAACUCUGUAUUGUUCUUUACAUGAUUUUGAUAUAGAACUAAUGUGUUUGUCGUGUUUGGGCCUUAUGAUCAUUGAACUCUGCUUUUUGAAACAUGCAGUCUCAUUGAUUGUGCUUUUAGGAAAUCAAUAUUUCCCAGGUUAUUGGGUUUUGUCGUAGAAAUUUUUGGCUUUGGGUAUUUGACAAUUUGUGUCUUUUUUUAAUGUUUUGUUGGCAUGGUUUUCUGAUUUCUUUUUUUGGCUAUCUAGGAUUUGUAGGGUAGGUGGAGAUCUUCUCCUUGCAAGAAUAAAAACAGAAGGCUUUUAGUUUAUCUGUGAGUAAGUUUCAGAAUUUUUGGUCUAAUUCUAAGUUUUAUUGAACCUUUCUGUAUAGGUGAGAGAUGAGUUUCUAUGGAGAACUUGCGAAUAGGACUGUGGAGACUGAUAUGCCGGUCAUGGUUCAGGUACCUAUAUAAUCUUCUUUGGCUUUGCAUCAACUUCUUAUACAACAGUUGGCAAACUUUUUGAGCUACAUUGUAUUGCUACAAGGUCGAGACCCAAAGGCACCUUCCUAGUCGCGAUAAGGAUGAUAAUAUUGAUGAAAUGAGCAAGAGAGGAUUAGAAAGGAUUGAAAUGUGUACUAGGAGUUUCACAUUUUGGAUGUAAAGUACUGUCCAGUACUUACAGAUAUUUGUUUUUUAUAUAUGAAUACUUAGUUUGUAUUCACUUUGAAAUGCAAUAUAUGACAGUUGAAUUGAAAUUUAUGCUAGG
rnacentral:lncRNA from 1 species